rnacentral:rRNA from 1 species
CCUACGGGGGGCUGCAGUGGGGAAUAUUGGACAAUGGGGGCAACCCUGAUCCAGCCAUGCCGCGUGUGUGAAGAAGGCCCUCGGGUUGUAAAGCACUUUCAGUGAGGAAGAACGCCUGGUGGUUAAUACCCAUCAGGAAAGACAUCACUCACAGAAGAAGCACCUGCUAACUCCGUGCCAGCAGCCGCGGUAAUACGGAGGGUGCGAGCGUUAAUCGGAAUUACUGGGCGUAAAGCGCGCGUAGGUGGCUUGAUAAGCCGGUUGUGAAAGCCCCGGGCUCAACCUGGGAACGGCAUCCGGAACUGUCAAGCUAGAGUGCAGGAGAGGAAGGUAGAAUUCCCGGUGUAGCGGUGAAAUGCGUAGAGAGCGGGAGGAAUACCAGUGGCGAAGGCGGCCUUCUGGACUGACACUGACACUGAGGUGCGAAAGCGUGGGUAGCAAACAGGAUUAGAUACCCCUGUAGUC